AUGGUUGUAGCACUCCAGCGUCAAUGCCGCUGGUUCGCCGUCGUCGCAAUUCACCGCCGUGUUCCAACAAAGAAACUCAAAAACCUUAUUGAAGAAUUAGCCGGUUCCAGCAAAAAAAUAACAUCGGUUCCAGCAAAAAGUUCACAGAAACAAAAACACCAGUACUCAAUGGUAGCAAAAACACUAGUCAGUCCAGCAAAAAAGAAGAGUGGUUCCAGCACCUCACAACGUGGUGGUAGCAAACUCCUCGCAGCCGGCCGAAGAACUGGCGCCGCCGAACGCAACAAGCCAUGGCCGCGGCACAAAACGUUUGCCGGUUCCAGCAAAAAUAUUCCCUAG
rnacentral:rRNA from 1 species